rnacentral:rRNA from 1 species
UACGGAGGAUGCGAGCGUUAUCCGGAUUUAUUGGGUUUAAAGGGUGCGUAGGCGGCAAGUCAAGUCAGCGGUAAAAAUGCGGUGCUCAACGCCGUAUAGCCGUUGAAACUGACAUGCUAGAGUGAGCGAGAAGUAUGCGGAAUGCGUGGUGUAGCGGUGAAAUGCAUAGAUAUCACGCAGAACCCCGAUUGCGAAGGCAGCAUACCGGCGCUCAACUGACGCUCAGGCACGAAAGCGUGGGUAGCAAACAGG